AGGACUACCAAUCAAAUUGUCUCAUCGGCUGAGUCAACACACACACCCUGUUCUGGAUGAGACUGCCCUGACAGCUGGGUAGUUGGAUACCCGAGUGUAGAACCUGACAGCCAUGGGCAAUGCUGUUCACUGGCAAAAGAGAAGAGAUUGCAGCCAAGUAACUUCGAAGUCUCUGUGGCUGUUAAUCACAUCCAGGCACAGUUGACACCAGACAUUCUGAGGAGGAUUCGGUCAUAUCUAACAGUUGCCAGGUUUAGCAGUUAUAAUCUCUGGAGAUAUGUGGAAGGUGGUGCAGAGUGACUUUGUUGACAGCCGGAAGAAUGACAAUGGUAUUUCUGCAUAGGAAAACCACAACCUCCUUAUACAAGCACGGCUUGUUGCUGUAAGUUGUGGAGAAAACCAUCUCACUGCUGAUGUGUAGAAAUGUUAAUGGUUAAUGGUUAAAAGCAAAAUAAAUGUGCUAGACAUCUAAGGUCAUGUAGCACUAUAGUAAAUGGUAUUGAAGGUGGUUGAGUUAGUGAUUAGUUGUCAAAGCUGGGCAA